rnacentral:rRNA from 1 species
UGGGGAAUAUUGCACAAUGGGCGCAAGCCUGAUGCAGCCAUGCCGCGUGUAUGAAGAAGGCCUACGGGUUGUAAAGUACUUUCAGCGGGGAGGAAGGUGUUGUGGUUAAUAACCACAGCAAUUGACGUUACCCGCAGAAGAAGCACCGGCUAACUCCGUGCCAGCAGCCGCGGUAAUACGGAGGGUGCAAGCGUUAAUCGGAAGUACUGGGCGUAAAGCGCGCGCAGGCGGUCUGUCAAGUCGGAUGUGAAAUCCCCGGGCUCAACCUGGGAACUGCAUCCGAAACUGGCAGGCUUGAGUCUUGUAGAGGGGGGUAGAAUUCCAGGUGUAGCGGUGAAAUGCGUAGAGAUCUGGAGGAAUACCGGUGGCGAAGGCGGC